rnacentral:rRNA from 1 species
GAUCAUGGCUCAGGGUGAACGCUAGCGACAGGCUUAACACAUGCAAGUCGAGGGGCAGCAUGAGGUAGCAAUACCUUGAUGGCGACCGGCGCACGGGUGAGUAACGCGUAUGCAACCUGCCCGAUACCGGGGUAUAGCCCAUGGAAACGUGGAUUAACACCCCAUAGUACUUUUAUCCUGCAUGGGAUGUGGGUUAAAUGUUCAAGGUAUCGGAUGGGCAUGCGUCCUAUUAGUUAGUUGGG